rnacentral:rRNA from 1 species
GACGAACGCUGGCGGCGUGCUUAACACAUGCAAGUCGAACGGUGAAGCGCCUUCCUUUUUGGUGGGUGUGGAUGAGUGGCGAACGGGUGAGUAACACGUGAGUAACCUGCCCCCUUCUUCUGGAUAACCGCAUGAAAGUGUGGCUAAUACGGGAUAUUCUGGGUCUGUCGCAUGAUGGGUCUGGGAAAGAUAUUGUUUCGGUGGGGGAUGGGCUCGCGGCCUAUCAGCUUGUUGGUGGGGUGAUGGCCUACCAAGGCGGUGACGGGUAGCCGGCCUGAGAGGGUGGACGGUCACACUGGGACUGAGACACGGCCCAGACUCCUACGGGAGGCAGCAGUGGGGAAUAUUGCACAAUGGGCGCAAGCCUGAUGCAGCGACGCCGCGUGAGGGAUGGAGGCCUUCGGGUUGUGAACCUCUUUCGCCAGUGAAGCAGGCCUGCCUCGUUUGUGGGUGGGUUGACGGUAGCGGGAUAAGAAGCGCCGGCUAACUACGUG